GAGGGCUCCCCCUACUGCCAAAGUGAAGGGUAUUCUGACUUCCGUCACCACUGGUCACUUCUGCCUGUUCUUGAACUUCAGGGGCCUGGGCACAGUGACCAGUUGAGAAGUUUGGAAAAGAAAAUGGAAAAGGAAGACAAACCAAGGCAAAAGCAACUUCACUGGGGGAGGGUGAAGGAAAAACCAGGAGAAAACAAGCCCUGCACAGCCGGAGCGCAGCAUCUCGGACACCUGAGGGGCCAGAUGGAGCUCGGGAGAAGCUCCCAACAACAGGCAGACCUCGGGGGACAGGCAGGAAAGGUGCUAACGGAAGCCAUCCAGCACGCAAGCAGGCACAGCUCCAGACAGCUAGUACUUGGACAAGCCCCUUUUAUAGAUGAGGCGACCGCAG